rnacentral:rRNA from 1 species
UCUGUUACUGACGCUGAGGCUCGAAAGCGUGGGGAGCAAACAGGAUUAGAUACCUGUAGUCACGCGUAAACGAUGAGUGCUAAGUGUUAGGGGGUUUCCCCCCUUAGUGCUGCAGCUAACGCAUUAAGCACUCCGCUGGGGAGUACGACCGCAAGGUUGAAACUCAAAGGAAUUGACGGGGGCCCGCACAAGCGGUGGAGCAUGUGGUUUAAUUCGAAGCAACGCGAAGAACCUUACCAGGUCUUGACAUCCUUUGACAACUCUAGAGAUAGAGCUUUCCCUUCGGGGACAAAGUGACAGGUGGUGCAUGGUUGUCGUCAGCUCGUGUCGUGAGAUGUUGGGUUAAGUCCCGCAACGAGCGCAACCCUUAUUGUUAGUUGCCAUCAUUCAGUUGGGCACUCUAGCGAAACUGCCGGUGACAAACCGGAGGAAGGUGGGGAUGACGUCAAAUCAUCAUGCCCCUUAUGACCUGGGCUACACACGUGCUACAAUGGACAGUACAAUGAGCAGCGACACGGCGACGUGAAGCGAAUCUCAUAAAGCUGUUCUCAGUUCGGAUUGUAGGCUGCAACUCGCCUACAUGAAGCCGGAAUCGCUAGUAAUCGCGGAUCAGCACGCCGCGGUGAAUACGUUCCCGGGCCUUGUACACACCGCCCGUCACACCACGAAAGUUUGUAACACCCAAAGUCGGUGAGGUAACCUUCGGGAGCCAGCCGCCUAAGGUGGGAUAGAUGAUUGGGGUGAAGUCGUAACAAGGUAACCA